GGAAUAUUGGACAAUGGGCGAAAGCCUGAUCCAGCCAUGCCGCGUGUGUGAAGAAGGUCUUCGGAUUGUAAAGCACUUUAAGUUGGGAGGAAGGGCAGUUACCUAAUACGUGAUUGUUUUGACGUUACCGACAGAAUAAGCACCGGCUAACUCUGUGCCAGCAGCCGCGGUAAUACAGAGGGUGCAAGCGUUAAUCGGAAUUACUGGGCGUAAAGCGCGCGUAGGUGGUUUGUUAAGUUGGAUGUGAAAUCCCCGGGCUCAACCUGGGAACUGCAUUCAAAACUGACUGACUAGAGUAUGGUAGAGGGUGGUGGAAUUUCCUGUGUAGCGGUGAAAUGCGUAGAUAUAGGAAGGAACACCAGUGGCGAAGGCGACCACCUGGACUAAUACUGACACUGAGGUGCGAAAGCGUGGGGAGCAAACAGGAUUAGAUACCCUAG
rnacentral:rRNA from 1 species